UCUCGUGUGGCUCAGUUGGUAGAGCAUGGUGUUUGCAACGCCAAGGUUUGGGUUCGAUUCCCACGGGGGAC
rnacentral:tRNA from 1 species